AAACUUUCAACAACGGAUCUCUUGGUUCUGGCAUCGAUGAAGAACGCAGCGAAAUGCGAUAAGUAAUGUGAAUUGCAGAAUUCAGUGAAUCAUCGAAUCUUUGAACGCACAUUGCGCCCUCUGGUAUUCCNGAGGGCAUGCCUGUUCGAGCGUCAUUA
rnacentral:rRNA from 1 species